AACGAACGCUGGCGGCGCGCCUAAUACAUGCAAGUCGAACGAGAAGGUGUAGCAAUACACUUGUAAAGUGGCGAACGGGUGAGGAAUACAUGGGUAACCUACCCUCGAGUGGGGAAUAACCAGCCGAAAGGUUGGCUAAUACCGCAUACGAUUCCCGGUUUGCGGAUCGGGAAGGAAAGCGAUGCUGUGAGUAUCGCGCGCAAGGAUGGGCUCAUGUCCUAUCAGCUUGUUGGUGAGGUAACGGCUCACCAAGGCUUCGACGGGUAGCUGGUCUGAGAGGACGAUCAGCCACACUGGCACUGCGACACGGGCCAGACUCCUACGGGAGGCAGCAGUAAGGAAUAUUGCGCAAUGGGCGAAAGCCUGACGCAGCGACGCCGCGUGGGGGAUGAAGGUCUUCGGGUUGUAAACCCCUUUCGGGAGGGAAGAUGGGAUGGGUAACCAUUCGGACGGUACCUCCAGAAGCAGCCACGGCUAACUUCGUGCCAGCCGCCGCGGUAAAAC
rnacentral:rRNA from 1 species